CUACGGGGGGCUCCAGUGGGGAAUAUUGCACAAUGGGCGCAAGCCUGAUGCAGCCAUGCCGCGUGUAUGAAGAAGGCCUUCGGGUUGUAAAGUACUUUCAGCGGGGAGGAAGGGAGUAAAGUUAAUACCUUUGCUCAUUGACGUUACCCGCAGAAGAAGCACCGGCUAACUCCGUGCCAGCAGCCGCGGUAAUACGGAGGGUGCAAGCGUUAAUCGGAAUUACUGGGCGUAAAGCGCACGCAAGCGGUUUGUUAAGUCAGAUGUGAAAUCCCCGGGCUCAACCUGGGAACUGCAUCUGAUACUGGCAAGCUUGAGUCUCGUAGAGGGGGGUAGAAUUCCAGGUGUAGCGGUGAAAUGCGUAGAGAUCUGGAGGAAUACCGGUGGCGAAGGCGGCCCCCUGGACGAAGACUGACGCUCAGGUGCGAAAGCGUGGGGAGCAAACAGGAUUAGAUACCCUAGUAGUC
rnacentral:rRNA from 1 species